rnacentral:rRNA from 1 species
UGCAAGUCGAGCGGCAUCAUACAGGUUGGCAAGCGGCGCACGGGUGAGUAAUACAUGUAAAUAUACCUAAAAGUGGGGAAUAACGUACGGAAACGUACGCUAAUACCGCAUAAUUAUUACGAGAUAAAGCAGGGGCUUGAUAAAAAAAAUCAACCUUGCGCUUUUAGAAAAUUACAUGCCGGAUUAGCUAGUUGGUAGAGUAAAAGCCUACCAAGGUAACGAUCCGUAGCUGGUCUGAGAGGAUGAUCAGCCACACUGGGACUGAGAAAAGGCCCAGACUCCUACGGGAGGCAGCAGUGGGGAAUAUUGGACAAUGGGGGGAACCCUGAUCCAGUCAUGCCGCGUGUGUGAAGAAGGCCUUUUGGGUUGUAAAGCACUUUCAGCGAAGAAGAAAAGUUAGAAAAUAAAAAGUUAUAACUAUGACGGUACUCGCAGAAGAAGCACCGGCUWACUCCGUGCCAGCAGCCGCGGUAAGACGGAGGGUGCAAGCGUUAAUCAGAAUUACUGGGCGUAAAGGGCAUGUAGGUGGUUUGUUAAGCUUUAUGUGAAAGCCCUAUGCUUAACAUANGAACGGAAUAAAGAACUGACAAACUAGAGUGCAGAAGAGGAAGGUAGAAUUCCCGGUGUAGCGGUGAAAUGCGUAGAUAUCUGGAGGAAUACCAGUUGCGAAGGCGACCUUCUGGGCUGACACUGACACUGAGAUGCGAAAGCGUGGGGAGCAAACAGGAUUAGAUACCCUGGUAGUCCACGCUGUAAACGAUAUCAACUAGCCGUUGGAUUCUUAAAGAAUUUUGUGGCGUAGCUAACGCGAUAAGUUGAUCGCCUGGGGAGUACGGUCGCAAGGCUAAAACUCAAAUGAAUUGACGGGGGCCCGCACAAGCGGUGGAGCAUGUGGUUUAAUUCGAUGCAACGCGCAAAACCUUACCUACUCUUGACAUCCAAAGUACUUUCCAGAGAUGGAAGGGUGCCUUAGGGAACUUUGAGACAGGUGCUGCAUGGCUGUCGUCAGCUCGUGUUGUGAAAUGUUGGGUUAAGUCCCGUAACGAGCGCAACCCUUGUCCUUAGUUGCCAACGCAUAAGGCGGGAACUUU